rfam:Sorghum bicolor cultivar BTx623 chromosome 1, whole genome shotgun sequence.
GUAGUUGGAUUCACGUCAAUCCACAUGUGUUGAGGUGGAUUGAAGUGGAAUUUAAACUAAAUUUCAUCCCAACCUACACCAUCACACAUGGAUUGAAGUGGAUCUGUUA